GCGGGUAUAGUUUAACGGUAGAACAGCGGGUUGUGGUCCCGUUGGCCUGGGUUCAACUCCCAGUACUCGCC
rnacentral:tRNA from 1 species